GGGUUGUGAGGUUAAGCGACUAAGCGUACACGGUGGAUGCCCUGGCAGUCAGAGGCGAUGAAGGGCGUGCUAAUCUGCGAUAAGCGCCGGUAAGGUGAUAUGAACCGUUAUAACCGGCGAUACCCGAAUGGGGAAACCCAGUGUGACUCGUCACACUAUCAUUAACUGAAUCCAUAGGUUAAUGAGGCGAACCGGGGGAACUGAAACAUCUAAGUACCCCGAGGAAAAGAAAUCAACCGAGAUUCCCCCAGUAGCGGCGAGCGAACGGGGAGGAGCCCAGAGCCUGAAUCAGCAUGUGUGUUAGUGGAAGCGUCUGGAAAGGCGCGCGAUACAGGGUGACAGCCCCGUACACAAAAGCGCAUGUGCUGUGAGCUCGAUGAGUAGGGCGGGACACGUGGUAUCCUGUCUGAAUAUGGGGGGACCAUCCUCCAAGGCUAAAUACUCCUGACUGACCGAUAGUGAACCAGUACCGUGAGGGAAAGGCGAAAAGAACCCCGGCGAGGGGAGUGAAAAAGAACCUGAAACCGUGUACGUACAAGCAGUGGGAGCACCCUUUGGGGUGUGACUGCGUACCUUUUGUAUAAUGGGUCAGCGACUUAUAUUCUGUAGCAAGGUUAACCGAAUAGGGGAGCCGGAGGGAAACCGAGUCUUAAUUGGGCGUUAAGUUGCAGGGUAUAGACCCGAAACCCGGUGAUCUAGCCAUGGGCAGGUUGAAGGUUGGGUAACACUAACUGGAGGACCGAACCGACUAAUGUUGAAAAAUUAGCGGAUGACCUGUGGCUGGGGGUGAAAGGCCAAUCAAACCGGGAGAUAGCUGGUUCUCCCCGAAAGCUAUUUAGGUAGCGCCUCGUGAAUUCAUCUCCGGGGGUAGAGCACUGUUUCGGCUAGGGGGCCAUCCCGGCUUACCAACCCGAUGCAAACUGCGAAUACCGGAGAAUGUUAUCACGGGAGACACACGGCGGGUGCUAACGUCCGUCGUGAAGAGGGAAACAACCCAGACCGCCAGCUAAGGUCCCAAAGUCAUGGUUAAGUGGGAAACGAUGUGGGAAGGCCCAGACAGCCAGGAUGUUGGCUUAGAAGCAGCCAUCAUUUAAAGAAAGCGUAAUAGCUCACUGGUCGAGUCGGCCUGCGCGGAAGAUGUAACGGGGCUAAACCAUGCACCGAAGCUGCGGCAGCGAACGUAUCACUUAAAGCGAUUCAGCGGGUUACGAUUGACGGAGCGAAGCGACGUCAAAGCGUAUACAAAGUCGAGUCGGUUUAAGGAUACGUUCGUUGGGUAGGGGAGCGUUCUGUAAGCCUGUGAAGGUGGCCUGUGAGGGUUGCUGGAGGUAUCAGAAGUGCGAAUGCUGACAUAAGUAACGAUAAAGCGGGUGAAAAGCCCGCUCGCCGGAAGACCAAGGGUUCCUGUCCAACGUUAAUCGGGGCAGGGUGAGUCGACCCCUAAGGCGAGGCCGAAAGGCGUAGUCGAUGGGAAACGGGUUAAUAUUCCCGUACUUGGUGUUACUGCGAAGGGGGGACGGAGAAGGCUAUGUUGGCCGGGCGACGGUUGUCCCGGUUUAAGCGUGUAGGCUGGUUUUCCAGGCAAAUCCGGAAAAUCAAGGCUGAGGCGUGACGACGAGGCACUACGGUGCUGAAGCAACAAAUGCCCUGCUUCCAGGAAAAGCCUCUAAGCAUCAGGUAACAUCAAAUCGUACCCCAAACCGACACAGGUGGUCAGGUAGAGAAUACCAAGGCGCUUGAGAGAACUCGGGUGAAGGAACUAGGCAAAAUGGUGCCGUAACUUCGGGAGAAGGCACGCUGACACGUAGGUGAAGUGAUUUACUCAUGGAGCUGAAGUCAGUCGAAGAUACCAGCUGGCUGCAACUGUUUAUUAAAAACACAGCACUGUGCAAACACGAAAGUGGACGUAUACGGUGUGACGCCUGCCCGGUGCCGGAAGGUUAAUUGAUGGGGUCAGCGCAAGCGAAGCUCCUGAUCGAAGCCCCGGUAAACGGCGGCCGUAACUAUAACGGUCCUAAGGUAGCGAAAUUCCUUGUCGGGUAAGUUCCGACCUGCACGAAUGGCGUAAUGAUGGCCAGGCUGUCUCCACCCGAGACUCAGUGAAAUUGAACUCGCUGUGAAGAUGCAGUGUACCCGCGGCAAGACGGAAAGACCCCGUGAACCUUUACUAUAGCUUGACACUGAACAUUGAGCCUUGAUGUGUAGGAUAGGUGGGAGGCUUUGAAGUGUGGACGCCAGUCUGCAUGGAGCCGGCCUUGAAAUACCACCCUUUAAUGUUUGAUGUUCUAACGUGGACCCGUAAUCCGGGUUGCGGACAGUGUCUGGUGGGUAGUUUGACUGGGGCGGUCUCCUCCUAAAGAGUAACGGAGGAGCACGAAGGUUGGCUAAUCCUGGUCGGACAUCAGGAGGUUAGUGCAAUGGCAUAAGCCAGCUUGACUGCGAGCGUGACGGCGCGAGCAGGUGCGAAAGCAGGUCAUAGUGAUCCGGUGGUUCUGAAUGGAAGGGCCAUCGCUCAACGGAUAAAAGGUACUCCGGGGAUAACAGGCUGAUACCGCCCAAGAGUUCAUAUCGACGGCGGUGUUUGGCACCUCGAUGUCGGCUCAUCACAUCCUGGGGCUGAAGUAGGUCCCAAGGGUAUGGCUGUUCGCCAUUUAAAGUGGUACGCGAGCUGGGUUUAGAACGUCGUGAGACAGUUCGGUCCCUAUCUGCCGUGGGCGCUGGAGAACUGAGGGGGGCUGCUCCUAGUACGAGAGGACCGGAGUGGACGCAUCACUGGUGUUCGGGUUGUCAUGCCAAUGGCACUGCCCGGUAGCUAAAUGCGGAAGAGAUAAGUGCUGAAAGCAUCUAAGCACGAAACUUGCCCCGAGAUGAGUUCUCCCUGAGACUUAGAGUCUCCUGAAGGAACGUUGAAGACGACGACGUUGAUAGGCCGGGUGUGUAAGCGCAGCGAUGCGUUGAGCUAACCGGUACUAAUGAACCGUGAGGCUUAACCUUACAACGCCGAAG
rnacentral:rRNA from 1 species